GGUCACCGAACUCCUAAUCUACUCAUCAUAACUCCAUCGUGUUUGGGCUCAAUAGAUUUGCCUUGACGAGCGCCGUCGAUCUAGAUGAGUCACCAGAACUCCUAAUCUACUCAUCAUAACUCCAUCGUAUUUAGGAUUAUUAGAAUUGUCCUGACGAGCACCAUCUAUCUAGAUGAGGUCCAGUGUCUCAUGAUGGAGUCAGGAGUUGGUCACCAGAACUCCUAAUGUACUUAUCAUAACUCCAUCGUGUUUGGGCGCAUUCGAUUUGCCUUGACGAGCACCAUCUAUCUAGAUGAGGUCCAGGUUCUCAUGAUGGAGUCAGGAGUUGUACAUUAGGAGUUCUGGUGACCAACUCCUGACUCCAUCAUGAGACCCUGGACCUCAUCUAGAU